UAUGAUGGUCAGGUGCUUAUGGUGAUUAAGGUCAGGUGUGAUGGAGAUCAGGUGUGAUGGUGUUUAUGAUGGUCAGGUGUGAUGGUAAUUAAGGUCAGGUGUUUAUGGUGAUUAUGAUGGU